rnacentral:rRNA from 1 species
UACGUAGGGUGCGAGCGUUACUCGGAAUUACUGGGCGUAAAGCGUGCGCAGGCGGUUCUCCAAGUCCGGUGUGAAAGCCCCGGGCUCAACCUGGGAAUGGCAGUGGAAACUAGGGGACUGGAAUCUGGCAGAGGGGGUGGAAUGCCGCGUGUAGCAGUGAAAUGCGUAGAGAUGCGGCGGAACACCGAUGGCGAAGGCAGCCCCCUGGGCUGAGAUUGACGCUCAGGCACGAAAGCGUGGGGAGCAAACAGG